rnacentral:rRNA from 1 species
UACGUAGGGUGCAAGCGUUGUCCGGAUUUACUGGGUUUAAAGGGUGCGUAGGCGGGUCGAUCAGUCUGCGAUGAAAUGCCGGAGCUUAACUCCGGCCCUGUUGCGGAUACUGUCGGUCUUGAAUUCGGUUGAGGUAGCUGGAAUGAGUAGUGUAGCGGUGAAAUGCGUAGAGAUUACUCAGAACACCAAUUGCGAAGGCAGGUUACUGGGCCGAUAUUGACGCUGAGGCACGAAAGCGUGGGUAGCAAACAGG